AUUGAACGCUGGCGGCAUGCUUUACACAUGCAAGUCGAACGGUAACAGGCCGCAAGGUGCUGACGAGUGGCGAACGGGUGAGUAAUGCAUCGGAACGUGCCCAGUCGUGGGGGAUAACGCAGCGAAAGCUGUGCUAAUACCGCAUACGAUCUAUGGAUGAAAGCGGGGGACCGUAAGGCCUCGCGCGAUUGGAGCGGCCGAUGUCAGAUUAGGUAGUUGGUGGGGUAAAGGCCCACCAAGCCAACGAUCUGUAGCUGGUCUGAGCGGACGACCAGCCACACUGGGACUGAGACACGGGCCAGACUCCUACGGGAGGCAGCAGUGGGGAAUUUUAGACAAUGGGCGCAAGCCUGAUCCAGCAAUGCCGCGUGCAGGAAGAAGGCCUUCGGGUUGUAAACUGCUUUUGUACGGAACGAAACGGUCUGGGUUAAUACCCUGGGCUAAUGACGGUACCGUAAGAAUAAGCACCGGCUAACUACGUGCCAGCCGCCGCGGUAACAC
rnacentral:rRNA from 1 species